CACGUACUGUGCGAACGUUAUUCGGAAUCACUGGGCUUAUAGGGUGCGUAGGCGGCAAGCCAAGUCAGAUGUGAAAUGCCUGAGCUUAACUGAGGCACUGCGUUUGAAACUGGAUUGCUCGAGUAUUUCAGGGGUGUGCGGAACUGCCAGUGGAGCGGUGAAAUGUGUUGAUAUUGGCAGGAACACCGGAGGCGAAAGCGGCACACUGGGGAAUAACUGACGCUGAGGCACGAAAGCCAGGGUAGCGAACGGG
rnacentral:rRNA from 1 species